GAUGCAUGAUGCGGACAAUCUUAUUAAGUCAUUAUAACGCUCACAUACGUAAAACAAAUAUUCCCAUUCUUCUUGUCUAAAAUUGUUAAUCUCAUUUCUUACUUG